UAGGGAAUCUUCCGCAAUGGACGCAAGUCUGACGGAGCAACGCCGCGUGAGUGAAGAAGGAUUUCGGUUCGUAAAACUCUGUUGUUAGAGAAGAACAGCGCAUAGAGUAACUGUUAUGCGUGUGACGGUAUCUAACCAGAAAGCCACGGCUAACUACGUGCCAGCAGCCGCGGUAAUACGUAGGUGGCAAGCGUUGUCCGGAUUUAUUGGGCGUAAAGCGAGCGCAGGCGGUUAGAAAAGUCUGAAGUGAAAGGCAGUGGCUCAACCAUUGUAGGCUUUGGAAACUGUUUAACUUGAGUGCAGAAGGGGAGAGUGGAAUUCCAUGUGUAGCGGUGAAAUGCGUAGAUAUAUGGAGGAACACCGGUGGCGAAAGCGGCUCUCUGGUCUGUAACUGACGCAGAGGCUCGAAAGCGUGGGGAGCGAACAGG
rnacentral:rRNA from 1 species